rnacentral:misc_RNA from 1 species
GAUGAAGAACGUAGCAAAAUGCGAUACUUGGUGUGAAUUGCAGAAUCCCGUGAACCAUCGAGUUUUUGAACGCAAGUUGCGCCCGAAGCCUUUUGGCCGAGGGCACGUCUGCCUGGGCGUCACGCAUCGCGUCGCCCCCCCACAAUUCUCCGUAAAGGGAACAUGUGUUUUGGGGGCGGAUAUUGGUCUCCCGUGCUCAUGGCGUGGUUGGCCGAAAUAGGAGUCCUUUCGAUGGACGCACGAACUAGUGGUGGUCGUAAAAACCCUCGUCUUUUGUUUCGUGCUGUUGCUCGCAAGGUAAACUCUUUAAAAACCCCAAUGCGUCGUCUCUUGCCGACGCUUCGACCGCGACCCCAGGUCAGGCGGGACUACCCGCUGAGUUUAAGCAUAUCAAUAAGCGGAGGA